GAAAAGGGGUGGGAGGGAGCCGCGGGACAGCUGAGGUGUGAGACGUUGUGUGGGAUUAGUCGGCGUAAAGCGCGCGCAGGCGGUCCUUUAAGGCGGAUGUGAAAGCCCACGGCUCAACCGUGGAUGGUCAUUGGAAACUGGGGGACGUGAGUGCAGAAGAGGAAAGCGGAAUUCCACGUGUAGCGGUGAAAUGCGUAGAGAUGUGGAGGAACACCAGUGGCGAAGGCGGCUUUCUGGUCUGUAACUGACGCUGAGGCGCGAAAGCGUGGGGAGCAAACAGGAUUAGAUACCCCAGUAGUC
rnacentral:rRNA from 1 species